UUGUUUUAAUGACUGAACGUUUUAACCGAUGACUUCAAAAGCGGAACUAGCUGUAGACGUGACAGAAUGAGAAUCUCUGGACGCGCGUCUGCAAUAAACGGAAACAUGUUUCACACGAUCUCGUUUACAAACAUUUUCUUUAUAUAUGUAGUAAUGGUUUGGUUUAUGUUUCACUCUUGUCUAAGUGAUCCUCAUAAAGAGAAACACUUCCUCCACUACAAGUUUACAGUCCUGACUAAAGCAGACACAUUCCCAGAGUUCAGUGCUGAAGUUGUUGCUGAUGACAGACGGAUCAAACAGUUCAAUAAUGAAGAAAGAGUCUGGAUUCUGACUGAAGAUCAAACUGAACCUCCCGAUCCACCUGAUACUAGAGACUGGUUCAUUCGUCAGAUCAGGACUCUGACAAACUGCACAAACUCACAGUGUUCUGAGCUUCAUGUUCUUCAGAGAAUAAUUGGCUGUGAACUGGAGAAACUUCCUGAUGGAACAGUGAAUCUGACUGUCUUUGAUGAAUAUGGAUUUGAUGGAGAGGAUUUUAUAUCCUUUAAUUAUGACACUAUGAAGUGGAUUGAUAAAAACCCCAAAGCCAAAGAAACUAAAGAGGAAUGGAAUCUUCACACAGAACGAAACCAGUUCAUCAAGUAUUUCCUCAAGAAUUGCAUGAACUGGAUCUCCACUUUUCACAACACAAAACAGAUUCCACCAAAUGUUCACGCUUUGGUGCCGAAAGCUCCUGAUGAUGACAGUAAUCUGGUUCUGACGUGUCUGGCCACUGGUUUCUACCCCAGAGAUGUUCAGAUGAACAUUAGAAGGAACAAAAACACUCUUGAGGAUCAAACAUCUUCUGGAAUCAGACCAAAUGAUGAUGAAACCUUUCAGAUGAGAAUCAGUGUGAAGAUCGACAUAAAUGACAAUGGGCUUUAUGACUGUCAUCUCAUUCACAGCAGUCUGACUCUAUCACGACCACUUUUAACACUAUACGUUGGAGGAUAUUGUGAAUCUUCUUGUCCUGUUCUAGCAACAGCAGCAGCUGCAGUUCUAGCUCUCACUGUGAUUGGUUACUGCGUCUACAAAAAGAUGCAUUGUAAUUUCUAAAUAUUCAACAUGACCAUUAUUGCUUUAACUUUCUUGUUUAAAUAUCUUUUUAAAAGAUAUGCAUGAACAGUUUUUGAACAAAAUAUGAACAUUAUGUGAAAUAAUGGUCUAAAGAGAAGUUAUCGUGAUUAUGUUGGAGCGAUUGAGCAGGUCCACUGAUCCUCUGUCCAGCGUCUGAGAGUUUCAUGAAACAUGUCAACGGAUCAAGAUCACAUCAGUGGUCCGAUCGAAGGAGCUCUUAGGCUACUUUUUUUGUGUAUAUCCAGUGUAAGACUCCUCUAUAAUCCUCGGCAAACUUCGACAGUCAGUUGAAUCUGCUCAUUCGGCUGUGAGUCUGGCAUCAUCCACUCGGAACUAAAGUGUGAUUCAGUUCAAUUAGAGAACUGGCUCAAAAGGACGAAUUCGUUCAAGAGGUUUUGAUCUCUGGUUUUGAUGCCCGUUCUUGGUUUUUCUGUCUCCCUGUGCCGUUAUUAUUUGACUGUUUACCAUGUGUUUAUGACCUCUUACCUCUUUAUUGGAUUACCCUUUAACAAAUGCUGCAUGUGGAUACUCAACAUAAAGUCUAGGAGCAGUUCUGUUCGAAAGACUUCACCACACCAUGUGAAGAAUAGUAAGAAUCAUUAACGCAUCAAGCUCCGGUGGCUCCGGUGGCCACGCUGUUCAAAGUGAUUUUUUUUACUUAAGGUGUCAGGAUGCUUGUGUCUGAACAAUUACAGACAAGAAAUCUCACACAUAUAUGUUAGUGCUUUAGGAAAUUAAAAUAUAUUAUACUGUGAAUAUGAUGUUAGCUUUAAACUGCUAGAUGAUACAAGUUUGUUAAAAUGCCGGGAGUGGGGUAAACUGAGCCAAAAGGUCUGGGCUUUUUUUUUCUUUUUUUUUUUGGGUUUUUGAGUCUGCUGGGCUGCUUAUUUAACUUUGUGUUCUAAAUAGUAUUGAUUUGUAUGUUUUAAUCUGUUAUGUUGCAUUGAUACAGUGUGUCCCUAUAGUGUUCCCUUAGCUCAUCUAAUCAUGAUGGCAGUGUUAGCAAUGCCAUUGUCAUGGGUUUGAUUCCUAAAUAAAACAUGUAUUGAUCAAACGUACAGCUUGAAAACUUUGUAAGUGUAUUUGACAGAAGUGUAGAAGUGUCUGUGCAAUAAAAGUCUUAAUAGUGA